CUUAUUUCUCGGCUUUUUGGCUAAGAUCAAGUGUAGUAUCUGUUCUUAUCAGUUUAAUAUUCCUGUUCUUUCAAAUUCAAAUACCCAAGGAAAAAAAUGACUUGAAGCUUUACAAUUUCUCAACUGCAAAUUUCUGAGAGAGAAAUUUUACUGGCUCAGUUUAACAUUUUGUGCUGGAUUAUAAA